rnacentral:lncRNA from 1 species
CUUAAACUAUCAUCCCCGCCGCGGCCACUAUCCCUCCAACUACUAUGGAGAAUAGUGACGCACACACGCACUAUAGCGGAAUACGCAAAAAGAUGAAAACUAGAUAGCAACAGAGUAAAUCUCACACAGAAUGCUAGCUAGAAUACGUAAAAAGGUGUACAGAGUAAACAAGACAGCGGGAGGUACCAACUCCCGGUGGAAAA